ACAUUGGAUUUUCUUUUAAUCGGUUUACCUGUUUUUAGGUUGAGCAGUUCCUCGGAGAAGUAUUCCGCUUGGCUCAGGCGGAGAAUACAUUUUCGAGCUUCAUCCAGUUCCGUAGACGUCAGGAAACCCUUUCGUGUGUUGUUGUUGGCCCGAGAGUUCCACACGAAGCGACUCAGGUAAGCUGUAAUGUGUACUAGCUUUGUCAACGACGAAAAUCGACAUAGUAGGUCGUUAUCAGUUUCUGAAUGGUUAGCUGCAAUGGCGUGGGCAGACGAUCGUUGCUCCGAAAGCGUGUCGUCCUGAGAAUGAAUGAACGACGGCCAUGUGCUGAAGGGCGACUGAAGCCACGGAGGACCAUGCCAUCAGCGCUGAUCUUCCUUCAGCAUUUGCACGGUGACUCGCCUGGUUGCUAAAUCCGCCGGAUUAUCGCCGCUAUGAAGGUGACGCCAAUCCACAUCUGGAAGUAGUGUCUGGAUUUCGACCACGCGGUGUGCAACAAAGAGCUUCCACCUAGAAGCGUGCGAUUGGACCCACGACAAUACCACCGAUGCAUCCGUCCAAGCGUAUAAGGUGGCUCGCAGAGGGAGUAUUCUGUCCCGAACUGCUACCAUGAGCCAAGCUAGUAACAGGGCUCCACAUAAUUCCAAGCGCGGGAUGCUGCAGAGCUUGAUUGGCGCGAGCUUCGUUCUCGCGAUGAGGAGUUGAACACUCGCAAUGGUGGAGGAAUUUGAUCUUGUCGGAAUUGGAACCAGUGCUCCUCCAAGCGGUCUGAAAGCGGCUCGUCCCAGUCUGCUCCUGACAACCAGAGAUCCUGCAGGAGUGUUUUGGCGCGAAUGAGAACUGGGGAGACCCAUCCAAGGGGAUCAAAGAGCCGAGCUGUGUGAGAGAGGACGAAUCGUUUCGUCCAAAUUCGAAUUGUAGGCGUGUUGUCCGCUCUGGCUGAGGUAACGUCAAGGUCCACUUGUCAAGGGGAAACCCGCCCGCCAUGAGGAUGCCAAUUAACUGAUGUCGAGCUUCCUCAGCCUUGGCAGGAUCGUCGGCCCCAGCCAACAAGUCGUCCACAUAGGCAUUUCGACGCAAUAUGGCGGCGCCCAAAGGGAAGCGUUGAUCCUCAUCGUCUGCCAGCUGUUGCAGAACUCGCAGUACAAGAGAAUACGCAUCGUGGAAACCUCCACCGAGUGAGCACCAGCCAGAGGUCGGACUGCAGACGUGGUCCUGACGCUAGAGCCUGGUUCACCGAAGACUGCAUGGUGAGGCAAGUAAUUGGCGCUAGCAACCCCACUUGGAGGCUGGUUCCAUGUGUCCCAGGCGCAGAUACUCCUCCAUGAGGUACGUAUAGGAUGUCUGCAAAAAGGAGUUCUUCUCCCAUCUUCGCUCGGCGACCAAAAGUCGCUGUAGAGCGGCACGCUGAGGCACCCCGAUGUCUUCGGGUUUAACCUUCAGGAACAGAAGCCGUACCACGUAGCGCGCUAAAUCGUCACGUGGAUCGUUUCGGAGAUUAUCUAAGCCUCGGAUGAGUUGCACCCGAGCCACCCCAGAGACUACUAGAGAUGGUGUUGGCCCUAUUCUCCAAGAAAAGGUACCCACAAACGUCGGUUCCGAGAAAUACGUCUACUUUGCGUGGUAUUCUGAACUCCGGGUCGGCCAGCGGCAAUCCUUGCAUAUGCGUCCACGGAUGGUCCUCCACUGGAUGAGAUGGAGUCGGAGAGGUGACUUUCCUUGUCACGAGCGCUUUGAGCGUAAUGCUCGACUUCGUGCUUGGUCACCCCGACGCUCUUUUCCUGAUAACCGAAAAUCCACCAACGCAACGAUUCAAACGGCGGAAGCGUGGUUGGAUCCACUAAAGAAGUUUCCCAGGUGAGCCUCGUAGUCUGAUCCAGCUUCUCGGUAAGAAGAAACGAAAACCAUUCAUCCCACGACUCCACCGGUCGCUCCAAUGAGGCGAGUGCAUCCCUUGGUUGGCGAAACUCGUCGAGGAUCCUUUUAAUUUCCUGAGAUGACGCCUUUGCAAUGGGAGUACAGGUGAGGAUACGACGCAUGUGUGAGGCCGCUAAGAUCCUUCCGUUACCAUAGCGACGCUCCAGGGACGCCCACGCUGAAUCGUAAUUACCGUCCGUCAUUGGAGUGCAGGUCCCCAAAGAACGUGGGCAGCGAGGUCGUGGGUAAAGUCGGUUCGCCUGACGACGCUUUGCCUGAAGAAUUCUCGUCUCCUGGCUUCUUCCGGUCUGCGACGAGGAGAGCAAUCCGCUCCUCCAAAUCCACGAGGUGCGUGAGGUAAGUAUUUUCAAUGGUGCUGAAAACGUCUUCCUUCAAAUAAGGUGAUGAUUUGUCACUGGCGCCAAUAAUAGAUUUGUGAGUUGACGAAAAAUCACGCCAAUAACAGCUACUGCCGUUGCUGCAGCAUAGUUAGAGUAAGUUUUUCUUGCCCGGUCUUCAGCGUAUUCUUCAUGAAAAUCUCUACACAAUUGGCCAGGUCUUCUUGAGCACGCAGUAGGUUGUGGAAUGACGACAUCAUGAUGAGUCACCCCGCAGAAACUGUUCGCUAACGACACGGAAGGACAUACACAGCAUGCGCGUGUAAGGUCAGGACUCGCGACCGUUGGCGGUUUGAAAUUCGGACCGUUUAACGGCGUGUAUGUAAUAAAGGAUACGAUUAUUCUGAUUAGGCGCAAGAAAAUAAAGUCAGCAUAUCUCACAAGAAACUGUAGUCUGUAACCCUUUUUCAGCAGUUCGGAAAGUCCAGUGGGCGAUCGGCCACCAUUGGAUCGUACUUCGAUGCACUGAGAACGUAGAUCGCCAAGAAAUGACUGCACUCACAGCCGGAAACAACGAAUCGAUUCACGAUGGUCUGAAUCAAGGUUCCGGACGUUUAGAUCCGGCUCGAAGGACCAAUGUUUUGAAAACUCGAAUUGUUGGACAGUGUAAUAUACACUUAUAAAAAAAAUAUGAAUCCUGAUCCGCGAUUCCUUCCAUACAAAAUCGUCAUUUUUCCGAAUUUUUUGAGGUUUUUGAUUUUUUACAGCUCGGGUUUUCAAUCUAAAAAUCUGCAAACUAGUAUUAUAUGUGCCUCAUGAAUAAAAAUAUCUCUGAUUUUUUUCAGAAUUUUUCAUGCACAAAUAUACGAGAAAUUGACCAAAACAUGUGUUUUACAUUUUUCCCCAUUACUACUCCUCCAGAUGAGAUACAGGGGUGUACAGGGCUAAAACU